CCUACGGGUGGCUGCAGUAGGGAAUCUUGCGCAAUGGGCGAAAGCCUGACGCAGCAACGCCGCGUGCGGGAUGAAGGCCUUCGGGUUGUAAACCGCUUUCAGCAGGGACGAAACUGACGGUACCUGCAGAAGAAGCCCCGGCCAACUACGUGCCAGCAGCCGCGGUAACACGUAGGGGGCGAGCGUUGUCCGGAUUUAUUGGGCGUAAAGAGCUCGUAGGCGGUUUCGUAAGUCGGGUGUGAAAACCCCAGGCUCAACCUGGGGACGCCACCCGA
rnacentral:rRNA from 1 species